rnacentral:rRNA from 1 species
UCCGCCUUGCCCUGUGGACCGUAUAGGUGUUAACGCCUCGCGGUAUUUUGACCGUGCGAAGGUAGCGCAAAUCACUUGUCUUUUUAAAUUGGGGACCUGUUAUGAAUGGCAUACGAGGGCUUGACUGUCUCCUCUGGUCAAGUCAAUGAAAUUGACUCUCCCCGUGCAGAAGCGGGGAUAAAAACAUAAGACGAGAAGACCCUAUGGAGCUUCAGACACUAAAGCAGAUCAGCAUUAAUAUCCUGAACAUGGGACAUGAAUACACUGAGCCCUGCCCUAAUGUCUUAGGUUGGGGCGACCGCGGAGUAAACAAAAAACCCCCGCAAGGACCGAAUGUAUUACAUUCACAACCAAGAGCGACAGCUCUAAUUAACAGACACUUCUGACCAAUAAGAUCCGGCAACGCCGAUUAAUGGACCAAGUUACCCUAGGGAUAACAGCGCAAUCUCCUCUUAGAGCCCGUAUCAACGAGGAGGUUUACGACCUCGAUGUUGGAUCAGGACAUCCUAAUGGUGCAGCCGCUAUUAAGGGUUCGUUUGUUCAACGAUUAAAGUCCUACGUGAUCUGAGUUC